rnacentral:rRNA from 1 species
UCAAGUUAUUAAGGGUGCAGGGCGGAUGCCUUGGCACUAGGAGCCGAUGAAGGACGUGAUAAGCUGCGAUAAGCUUCGGGGAGUUGCACGUAAACUUUGAUCCGAAGAUUUCCGAAUGAGGAAACUCACUUAGAGUAAUGUCUAAGUAUCAUUAAGUGAAUACAUAGCUUAAUGAGGGGAACUCAGGGAACUGAAACAUCUAAGUACCUGAAGGAAGAGAAAGAAAUUCGAUUCCGUAAGUAGCGGCGAGCGAACGCGGAUUAGCCCAAACCAAUAAAGUUUUCUUUAUUGGGGUUGCGGACAUAUCAUAACGAAGAGGUAUCGUAAUUGAAGAGGUUUGGAAAGACCCACCACAGAAGGUAAUAGUCCUGUAUGUUAAACGAGAAGACUUUAGAUAUGAUCCAGAGUACCACGGGACACGUGAAACCCUGUGGGAAGCAGGAGGGACCACCCUCCAAGGCUAAAUACUACCUAGUGACCGAUAGCGUAUAGUACCGUGAGGGAAAGGUGAAAAGAACCCCGGGAGGGGAGUGAAAUAGAACCUGAAACCCUGCACUUACAAGCUGUGGAAGCACAUUUCUUGUGUGACCGCGUACUUUUUGUAGAACGGGCCAACGAGUUACGUUAAGUAGCAAGGUUAAGCACUUAAGGUGCGGAGCCGUAGCGAAAGCGAGUUUUAACUGAGCGUUCAGUUACUUGACGUAGACCCGAAACCGGGCGACCUACCCAUGAGCAGGAUGAAGCGAAAGUAAAAUUUCGUGGAGGUCCGAACCCACGAGCGUUGAAAAGCUCGGGGAUGACUUGUGGGUAGCGGUGAAAUUCCAAUCGAGCCCGGAGAUAGCUGGUUCUCCCCGAAAUAGCUUUAGGGCUAGCCUCAAGGUGAGAGAUACGGAGGUAGAGCACUGAAUGUCCUAGGGGGUAUUGCACCUACCGAAGACUAUCAAACUCCGAAUGCCGUCAUCUUAUACUUGGGAGUCAGACUGUGGGUGAUAAGAUUCAUAGUCGAAAGGGCAACAGCCCAGAUCGUCAGCUAAGGUCCCUAAAUGUAAGUUAAGUGGUAAAGGAUGUGGGAUUGCACAGACAACCAGGAUGUUGGCUUAGAAGCAGCCACUCAUUCAAAGAGUGCGUAAUAGCUCACUGGUCGAGUGAUCCUGCGCCGAAGAUUUCCGGGGCUAAAACUUACUACCGAAGCUACGGCAUCAGUAAUGAUGGGUAGGGGAGCUUCCCAUACGGGUUGAAGCAUGACCGUAAGGACAUGUGGACAGUAUGGGAGUGAGAAUGUUGGCAUGAGUAGCGAGAUGUGGGUGAGAAUCCCACAGGCCGUAAACCCAAGGUUUCCAGGGGAAGGUUCGUCCGCCCUGGGUUAGUCGGGACCUAAGCUGAGGCCGAAAGGCGUAGGUGAUGGACAACAGGUUGAUAUUCCUGUACUACCGAUAACCGUUUGAGAGAAGGGAUGACACAGUAGGAUAAGCUAAGCACACUGUUGGUUAUGUGUGCCCAAGCAUUGAGGCAGUCAAAGUAGGCAAAUCCGCUUUGAUAAUGCUGGGAUGUGAUGGGGAGCGAAAUUUAGUAGCGAAGUAGCUGAUUUCACACUGUCAAGAAAAGUCUCUAUCGAGGUUAAAGGUACCCGUACCGCAAACCGACACAGGUGGGUGAGGAGAGUAUCCUAAGGCCAGCGAGAGAACUGUUGUUAAGGAACUCGGCAAAAUGACCCCGUAACUUAGGGAUAAGGGGUGCCACCAUCAGGUGGCCGCAGAGAAUAGGCCCAAGCGACUGUUUACCAAAAACAUAGGUUUCUGCUAAGUCGCAAGACGAUGUAUAGGAGCUGACGCCUGCCCGGUGCUGGAAGGUUAAGGGGAUCUGUUAGAGCAAUCGAAGCAGUGAACUUAAGCCCCAGUAAACGGCGGCCGUAACUAUAACGGUCCUAAGGUAGCGAAAUUCCUUGUCGGGUAAGUUCCGACCCGCACGAAAGGCGUAACGAUUUGGGCACUGUCUCAACAACAGACUCGGUGAAAUUGUAAUUCCGGUGAAGAUGCCGGAUACCUGCGACAGGACGGAAAGACCCCAUGGAGCUUUACUGUAGCUUGACAUUGGGUCUUGGUACUACAUGUACAGGAUAGGUGGGAGGCUUUGAAACCAGGACGCCAGUUUUGGCGGAGCCAUCCUUGGGAUACCACCCUUGUAGUACUGGGACUCUAACCAUAGGCCAUGAAUCUGGUCUUGGGACACUGUCAGGUGGGCAGUUUGACUGGGGCGGUCGCCUCCCAAAAGGUAACGGAGGCGCUCAAAGGUUCUCUCAGUACGGUCGGAAAUCGUACGUAGAGUGUAAAGGCAAAAGAGAGCUUGAUUGCAAGACAUACAGGUCGAGCAAGGAUGAAAAUCGGACUUAGUGAUCCGGUGGUUCUGCGUGGAAGGGCCAUCGCUCAACGGAUAAAAGCUACCCUGGGGAUAACAGGCUUAUCUCCCCCAAGAGUCCACAUCGACGGGGAGGUUUGGCACCUCGAUGUCGGCUCAUCACAUCCUGGGGCUGUAGUAGGUCCCAAGGGUUGGGCUGUUCGCCCAUUAAAGUGGUACGCGAGCUGGGUUCAGAACGUCGUGAGACAGUUCGGUCCCUAUCCGUCGCAGGCGUAGGAAAUUUGAGAAGACCUGUCCUUAGUACGAGAGGACCGGGAUGGACGUACCUCUGGUGUACCAGUUGUNCUGCCAAGGGCAUGGCUGGGUAGCUAUGUACGGAAUGGAUAAGCGCUGAAAGCAUCUAAGCGCGAAGCCAACUUCAAGAUAAGAUUUCCCACCGCAAGGGUAAGACCCCAGAAAGACUAUCUGGUUGAUAGGUCGAAGGUGUAAGUGCAGUAAUGUAUUUAGCUUAUCGAUACUAAUAGGUCGAGGACUUGACCAA